rnacentral:tRNA from 1 species
AGAGGGGGUUAUAAGACCUGCUAACUCUUUAACCUGGCACUAAUCACCAGCCCUCUCU